CAUCGGAAUCUACCUUUUCGUGGGGGAUAACGUAGGGAAACUUACGCUAAUACCGCAUACGACCUUAGGGUGAAAGCGGAGGACCUUCGGGCUUCGCGCGGAUAGAUGAGCCGAUGUCGGAUUAGCUAGUUGGCGGGGUAAAGGCCCACCAAGGCGACGAUCCGUAGCUGGUCUGAGAGGAUGAUCAGCCACACUGGAACUGAGACACGGUCCAGACUCCUACGGGAGGCAGCAGUGGGGAAUAUUGGACAAUGGGCGCAAGCCUGAUCCAGCCAUGCCGCGUGGGUGAAGAAGGCCUUCGGGUUGUAAAGCCCUUUUGUUGGGAAAGAAAAGCAGUCGGUUAAUACCCGAUUGUUCUGACGGUACCCAAAGAAUAAGCACCGGCUAACUUCGUGCCAGCAGCCGCGGUAAUACGAAGGGUGCAAGCGUUACUCGGAAUUACUGGGCGUAAAGCGUGCGUAGGUGGUUGUUUAAGUCCGUUGUGAAAGCCCUGGGCUCAACCUGGGAAUUGCAGUGGAUACUGGGCAACUAGAGUGUGGUAGAGGAUGGCGGAAUUCCCGGUGUAGCAGUGAAAUGCGUAGAGAUCGGGAGGAACAUCUGUGGCGAAGGCGGCCAUCUGGACCAACACUGACACUGAGGC
rnacentral:rRNA from 1 species